CUAGCUACAGGCUUAACACAUGCAAGUCGAGGGGCAGCAUGGUCUUAGCUUGCUAAGGCCGAUGGCGACCGGCGCACGGGUGAGUAACACGUAUCCAACCUGCCGUCUACUCUUGGACAGCCUUCUGAAAGGAAGAUUAAUACAAGAUGGCAUCAUGAGUCCGCAUGUUCACAUGAUUAAAGGUAUUCCGGUAGACGAUGGGGAUGCGUUCCAUUAGAUAGUAGGCGGGGUAACGGCCCACCUAGUCUUCGAUGGAUAGGGGUUCUGAGAGGAAGGUCCCCCACAUUGGAACUGAGACACGGUCCAAACUCCUACGGGAGGCAGCAGUGAGGAAUAUUGGUCAAUGGGCGAGAGCCUGAACCAGCCAAGUAGCGUGAAGGAUGACUGCCCUAUGGGUUGUAAACUUCUUUUAUAAAGGAAUAAAGUCGGGUAUGGAUACCCGUUUGCAUGUACUUUAUGAAUAAGGAUCGGCUAACUCCGUGCCAGCAGCCGCGGUAAUACGGAGGAUCCGAGCGUUAUCCGGAUUUAUUGGGUUUAAAGGGAGCGUAGAUGGAUGUUUAAGUCAGUUGUGAAAGUUUGCGGCUCAACCGUAAAAUUGCAGUUGAUACUGGAUAUCUUGAGUGCAGUUGAGGCAGGCGGAAUUCGUGGUGUAGCGGUGAAAUGCUUAGAUAUCACGAAGAACUCCGAUUGCGAAGGCAGCCUGCUAAGCUGCAACUGACAUUGAGGCUCGAAAGUGUGGGUAUCAAACAGGAUUAGAUACCCUGGUAGUCCACACGGUAAACGAUGAAUACUCGCUGUUUGCGAUAUACUGCAAGCGGCCAAGCGAAAGCGUUAAGUAUUCCACCUGGGGAGUACGCCGGCAACGGUGAAACUCAAAGGAAUUGACGGGGGCCCGCACAAGCGGAGGAACAUGUGGUUUAAUUCGAUGAUACGCGAGGAACCUUACCCGGGCUUAAAUUGCAGAUGAAUUACGGUGAAAGCCGUAAGCCGCAAGGCAUCUGUGAAGGUGCUGCAUGGUUGUCGUCAGCUCGUGCCGUGAGGUGUCGGCUUAAGUGCCAUAACGAGCGCAACCCUUGUUGUCAGUUACUAACAGGUUCCGCUGAGGACUCUGACAAGACUGCCAUCGUAAGAUGUGAGGAAGGUGGGGAUGACGUCAAAUCAGCACGGCCCUUACGUCCGGGGCUACACACGUGUUACAAUGGGGGGUACAGAGGGCCGCUACCACGCGAGUGGAUGCCAAUCCCCAAAACCUCUCUCAGUUCGGACUGGAGUCUGCAACCCGACUCCACGAAGCUGGAUUCGCUAGUAAUCGCGCAUCGGCCACGGCGCGGUGAAUACGUUCCCGGGCCUUGUACACACCGCCCGUCAAGCCAUGGGAGCCGGGGGUACCUGAAGUGCGUAACCGCGAGGAGCGCCCUAGGGUAAAACUGGUGACUGGGGC
rnacentral:rRNA from 1 species